rnacentral:rRNA from 1 species
UACAGAGGUCCCGAGCGUUGUUCGGAGUUACUGGGCGUAAAGGGUGUGUAGGCGGUUGGAUAAGUGUGGUGUGAAAUCUCCCGGCUUAACUGGGAGGGUGCGCUACAAACUGUCUGACUAGAGUGUGGGAUGGGAGAGUGGAAUUCCUGGUGUAGCGGUGAAAUGCGUAGAUAUCAGGAGGAACACCGGUGGUGUAGACGGCUCUCUGGACCAUAACUGACGCUGAGACACGAAAGCGUGGGUAGCAAACAGG